rnacentral:rRNA from 1 species
GUCUACGGCCACGCCACCCUGAACGAGCCCGAUCCCGUCUGAUCUCAGAAGCUAAACAGGGUCGGGCCUGGUGAGUACUUGGAUGGGAGACCACCUAGGAAGACCAGGUGCUGCAGGCG